CUUGGUCAUUUAGAGGAAGUAAAAGUCGUAACAAGGUUUCCGUAGGUGAACCUGCGGAAGGAUCAUUACAGAGUUCAUGCCCGAAAGGGUAGACCUCCCACCCUUGUGUAUUAUUACUUUGUUGCUUUGGCGAGCUGCCUUCGGGCCUCGUAUGCUCGCCAGAGAAUACCAAAACUCUUUUUAUUAAUGUCGUCUGAGUACUAUAUAAUAGUUAAAACUUUCAACAACGGAUCUCUUGGUUCUGGCAUCGAUGAAGAACGCAGCGAAAUGCGAUAAGUAAUGUGAAUUGCAGAAUUCAGUGAAUCAUCGAAUCUUUGAACGCACAUUGCGCCCCUUGGUAUUCCGGGGGGCAUGCCUGUUCGAGCGUCAUUUCAACCCUCAAGCUUAGCUUGGUAUUGAGUCUAUGUCAGCAAUGGCAGGCUCUAAAAUCAGUGGCGGCGCCGCUGGGUCCCGAACGUAGUAAUAUCUCUCGUUACAGGUUCUCGGUGUGCUUCUGCCAAAACCCAAAUUUUUCUAUGGUUGACCUCGGAUCAGGUAGGGAUACCCGCUGAACUUAAGCAUAUCAAUAAGCGGAGGA
rnacentral:rRNA from 1 species